GAGAAGUCAGGCCAAAUUAAGCCAUA
rnacentral:lncRNA from 1 species